UACGGAGGGGGUUAGCGUUGUUCGGAAUUACUGGGCGUAAAGCGCGCGUAGGCGGAUUGGAAAGUUGGGGUGAAAUCCCAGGGCUCAACCCUGGAACUGCCUCCAAAACUCCCAGUCUUGAGUUCGAGAGAGGUGAGUGGAAUUCCGAGUGUAGAGGUGAAAUUCGUAGAUAUUCGGAGGAACACCAGUGGCGAAGGCGGCUCACUGGCUCGAUACUGACGCUGAGGUGACGAAAGUGUGGGAGCAAACAGGAUUAGAUACCCCCGUAGUCC
rnacentral:rRNA from 1 species